rnacentral:rRNA from 1 species
CAUCACUACGCUAGAUGCAUAUCAAUAAGCGGAGGAAAAGAAACUAACAAGGAUUCCCCUAGUAACGGCGAGUGAAGCGGGAAGAGCUCAAAUUUGAAAUCUUCAAGGUUUUACCUUGACGAAUUGUAGUUUAAAGAAGUGUUUUCUGUUGGAGUUUCGGUAAAAGUUCUUUGGAAUAGGACAUCAUAGAGGGUGAGAAUCCCGUAUUUGACCAUUACUUUCCAGCUGUGUGAUACACUUUCAAAGAGUCGGAUUGUUUGGGAAUGCAGUCCAAAAUGGGUGGUAAAUUUCAUCUAAAGCUAAAUAUUGGCGAGAGACCGAUAGCGAACAAGUACCGUGAGGGAAAGAUGAAAAGAACUUUGAAAAGAGAGUUAAACAGUACGUGAAAUUGUCAAAAGGGAAGCGUUUGACACCAGUGUUGUUUAGUUGAAAAUCAAUUCAAUAAUUUUUGAUUUUAAGUAGUAUUGACUUCAUCAGCUUGCUGCUUUCUUUUCGAAAAUUAUUGAAUGCACUUUUCAGUUAACAAGUCAACAUCAAUUUCUUUUGUUGUAAAAGGGUAAGAGGAAGGUGGCUUACGCUUCGGCGUAAGUGUUUAUAGCCUUUUACCUCUGCAAUCGGAGAGAUUGAGGACAGCAGCGUAGACUCCUUCGGGGGUUAGAUACACUUGUGCUAAGCUAUAGCCUUGUAUAGACAACUUGUUGACUAUGCUCAGUCAUGUAGCUUACUCGCAUGUGCUAUUUUACCUACGCUUAGGAUGUUGACGAGACUGUCGAUCUC